GACAGAGGAGCCAAGCGUUGUCCGGAUUGACUGGGCGUAAAGCGCACGCAGGCGGAAUGGCGCGUGGGGUGUGAAAGCUGGCGGCUUAACUGCCAGUCGCCAUCCCAUACGGCCACUCUGGAGCCUUGCAGAGGGCAGUGGAAUUGCCGGUGUAGUGGUGAAAUGCGCAGAUAUCAGGAGGAACACCGGUGGCGAAGGCGGGUCUCUGGGCCGAUACUGACGCUGAGGAGCGAAAGCGUGGGGAGCGAACAGG
rnacentral:rRNA from 1 species